rnacentral:rRNA from 1 species
UGGGGAAUAUUGCACAAUGGGGGAAACCCUGAUGCAGCGACGCCGCGUGAGUGAAGAAGUAUUUCGGUAUGUAAAGCUCUAUCAGCAGGGAAGAAAGAAAUGACGGUACCUGAGUAAGAAGCUCCGGCUAAAUACGUGCCAGCAGCCGCGGUAAUACGUAUGGAGCAAGCGUUAUCCGGAUUUACUGGGUGUAAAGGGAGCGUAGACGGCUCUGCAAGUCUGAAGUGAAAGCCCGCGGCUUAACCGCGGGACUGCUUUGGAAACUGCAAGGCUUGAGUAUCGGAGGGGCAGGCGGAAUUCCUAGUGUAGCGGUGAAAUGCGUAGAUAUUAGGAAGAACACCGGUGGCGAAGGCGGCCUGCUGGACGAAAACUGACGUUGAGGCUCGAAGGCGUGGGGAGCAAACAGGAUUAGAUACCCUGGUAGUCCACGCGGUAAACGAUGAAUACUAGGUGUUGGUGCCCGAAGGGCAUCGGUGCCGUCGCAAACGCAAUAAGUAUUCCACCUGGGGAGUACGUUCGCAAGAAUG